UUCACAGUGGCUAAGUUCGUCA
rnacentral:miRNA from 2 species